UCCUGAAACUGACGCCUCUGGUACUGCAGCUACAUAAUAUUGGUUUCGAAGCUCAUUUUUGGCAGAGCUGGCCGUGGCCAUCUUGGCAGCGCGUCACUCCUGGAUAACCAAAAAUGGGCAAAGAGGCGGGUCGUGGGUGGAGCUGAGGUGACUGGUUUCUGAAACCACGCCCUCCGGGGGCUUGUGUGGUUGGCGUUUUGGUAGCCUCUGGCUGCACCAGCUUAUAACGUUACUGGAGAGCAGAUGGAACAACAUACAGUACCUCCACUGCCACGACUGAGCCUUUGGAUUAUUUAUUAUAGUUAACAAACAUCAAUCAACAAUCCUUCCCUAAAGACAUGCAGCAGUUGUUAACGAAGCAGUCCAGGUACACUGGGAAACGGGUCUCCACUCAUCCCACAGGAGACGCUGCAAGCACUGAUGGACCCUGCUGUAACACUUCCCUCUCCCUCCUGUCUCCUGAACACGAGUCUAUAAGGGCGCUGAUGGAGCAGUUGGAUGCUGAGUCACAGUGUGGUUCAGAUGUCCCACCUAGUGCCAGACAGCUGCAGAGACCUGGAACGCAUCCUCAGUGUGCUGGACGUCUGUAUCUGAUGGCAUGGACUGACGUGGAAAGGCCUUCUCCCCUUCUGUUUACUUUUAUAUUUAGUUUAAUGUUGUCCAUACGUGUUUUUUAUUCACGUUUUAAUAAUCUAGAAAUUAUGGCAAUACAUUCUCCAUAUAUUUCCACUAAUUUUGUCUUUAAGACUAACUGAAAAUGUUAGAUGUCAGAUUCCAUCUGUCAAUUCCAUUGACAAUAUAUCAAAAAAUAAGGCUGAACUCUUGCUAAGUCUAGUAUACGUUUAAAAGUGAAAAUGCUCCCAAAAUUGUUUCAUGGUUCACAUAAAAUAUUGAAAAAUAAUGAAAGCUCCAAGGACAUCUCAUUUCUUAAAUGCCUGUUUCAUCGACUCCUCUCUCCUUGACCUUAGUUGCUAUAAACCUUGUUUUGCAGAUCUUAGGUGUUUGUGACUCCUGUUGCCCCCCUUAGCCAGGGUCAUAAAAAAACGGAAACAGAAUUCUCGCUCUGAGAGGCAAGUUGCUGCGUGCCGGUGGAAAUGUGAGUCAAAGAUGGAGAGAGGAGGUUGUUGUGUUGGAGUAACAUUAGGAAAAAAGUCUUGCUAGCAGUUCCUCUAAUUAUACAAACUCCUCUCCAUCUUUUCCACUGGUGGAGUGAAGAAAUUCUCAAUAUGAGACAAUACAGAGAACAUAUGGUUACAUUGUAACCAUGGUUACAGUGAGU